AGUGAACGCUGGCGGUAGGCCUAACACAUGCAAGUCGAACGGCAGCACAGUAAGAGCUUGCUCUUACGGGUGGCGAGUGGCGGACGGGUGAGGAAUACAUCGGAAUCUACUUUUUCGUGGGGGAUAACGUAGGGAAACUUACGCUAAUACCGCAUACGACCUACGGGUGAAAGCAGGGGAUCUUCGGACCUUGCGCGAUUGAAUGAGCCGAUGUCGGAUUAGCAAGUUGGUGGGGUAAAGGCCCACCAAGGCGACGAUCCGUAGCUGGUCUGAGAGGAUGAUCAGCCACACUGGAACUGAGACACGGUCCAGACUCCUACGGGAGGCAGCAGUGGGGAAUAUUGGACAAUGGGCGCAAGCCUGAUCCAGCCAUACCGCGUGGGUGAAGAAGGCCUUCGGGUUGUAAAGCCCUUUUGUUGGGAAAGAAAAGCAGCAGGUUAAUACCCCGCUGUUCUGACGGUACCCAAAGAAUAAGCACCGGCUAACUUCGUG
rnacentral:rRNA from 1 species